rnacentral:lncRNA from 1 species
GACAAGUGGGGGACGCUCAAGGCCGCCGAGAGCCCGGCCGACUUCAAGGUGAAGGAGGACAACAACGUGUCCUUGGUCGAGUUUGAGCUCAUCACCGUGAUGCAGUGAUUGAAGAAGGCUCCUCCUCCUCCUCGCCUAUGAGGAGGAGGAGGCACAGGAGGCUCAGCAGCUGUUAGGCUGAGCACAAAGCAAUAAACCGGCCAAUCAUGGCUCAUGUUCUUCACCCCCUCCCCCCCUCUCUCUGUUUACUGUUUAUUUGCUGGAAGUUUUGCUAGUCCUGCUACCUUGGAUUAAUUGUCGUUAGUAAUACAAUAUAUGUUUGUUUGUGCGGAGUUGCAUCCAGAUUGUUGCGAGUG